rnacentral:rRNA from 1 species
GAUUAUACAGUGAAACUGCGGAUGGCUCAUUAAAUCAGUUAUAGUUUAUUUGAUGGUUCCUUUUUUACUACUCGGAUAACCGUAGUAAUCCUAGAGCUAAUACGUGCAUAAAACUUUGACUAGGGGGUAACCAAGAGGCAACUUUUGGAAGCCAUCACCCUAGGAAAAAGUGUAUUUAUUAGAUAAAAAACCAGCACAAGGUAAUUAAUUAAUUACAAUAUAGAUAAACAUGGAUCAAGUGCAAAACUAUAAUCCCUAUAUUGUAAGCCUUGUUUAUCCUGGUGAGUCACAGUAACUCGAUCGGAUCGCGAUUAUCAUGGCCUUCGCGGGUCAUGGCGACGAUUCAUUCAAAUUUCUGCCCUAUCAACUUUCGAUGGUAGUUUAUGCGCCUACCAUGGUUGUAACGGGUAACGGAGAAUAAGGGUUCGACUCCGGAGAGGGAGCCUGAGAAACGGCUACCACAUCCAAGGAAGGCAGCAGGCACGCAAAUUACCCACUCCCAGCACGGGGAGGUAGUGACGAAAAAUAACGAGACGGCUCGCUAUGCGGUCCGUCAUCGGAAUGGGUACAAUUUAAAUCCUUUAACGAGGAUCUAUU